UACGGAGGAUGCAAGCGUUAUCCGGAUUUAUUGGGUUUAAAGGGUGCGUAGGCGGAUAUGUAAGUCAGCGGUGAAACUCACAGGCUCAACCUGUGCCGUGCCGUUGAAACUGUGUAUCUGGAAUGCGGAUGCUGUGGGAGGAAUGUGUAGUGUAGCGGUGAAAUGCAUAGAUAUUACACAGAACACCGAUUGCGAAGGCAUCUCACAAAGCCGUUAUUGACGCUGAGGCACGAAAGUGUGGGGAUCAAACA
rnacentral:rRNA from 1 species